rnacentral:rRNA from 1 species
UUUUAAUUGAGAGUUUGAUCCUGGCUCAGGACGAACGCUGGCGGCGCGCUUAACACAUGCAAGUCGAGCGAUGAAAUUUUAGCAACUUUCUUCGGGGAGAAGCAAAAAUGGAUUAGCGGCGGACGGGUGAGUAACACGUGAGUAACCUACCUUAGACAUUGGGAUAGCCUCGGGAAACUGGGAUUAAUACCAAAUAAAAUCAUAGAAGCACAUGCAACAAUGAUCAAAACUCCGGUGGUCUAAGAUGGACUCGCGUCCCAUUAGCUAGUUGGUAAGGUAAAGGCUUACCAAGGCGACGAUGGGUAGCCGGCCUGAGAGGGUGAACGGCCACAUUGGAACUGAGAAACGGUCCAAACUCCUACGGGAGGCAGCAGUGGGGAAUAUUGCACAAUGGAGGGAACUCUGAUGCAGCGACGCCGCGUGAACGAAGAAGGCUUUCGAGUCGUAAAGUUCUUUUAUAUGGGAAGAUAAUGACGGUACCAUAAGAAAAAGCCCCGGCUAACUACGUGCCAGCAGCCGCGGUAAUACGUAGGGGGCUAGCGUUGUCCGGAAUCACUGGGCGUAAAGGGUUCGCAGGCGGAAAUGCAAGUCAGGUGUAAAAGGCAGUAGCUUAACUACUGUAAGCAUUUGAAACUGCAUAUCUUGAGAAGAGUAGAGGUAAGUGGAAUUUUUAGUGUAGCGGUGAAAUGCGUAGAUAUUAAAAAGAAUACCGGUGGCGAAGGCGACUUACUGGGCUCAUUCUGACGCUGAGGAACGAAAGCGUGGGUAGCAAACAGGAUUAGAUACCCUGGUAGUCCACGCUGUAAACGAUGAGUGCUAGGUGUCGGCAGAAGUCGGUGCCGCAGUUAACACAAUAAGCACUCCGCCUGGGGAGUACGUGCGCAAGCAUGAAACUCAAAGGAAUUGACGGGGACCCGCACAAGCAGCGGAGCAUGUGGUUUAAUUCGAAGCAACGCGAAGAACCUUACCAGGGCUUGACAUACUGAGGACAAGUAUAGAGAUAUACCGUCUUCUUCGGAAGCCUCAAUACAGGUGGUGCAUGGUUGUCGUCAGCUCGUGUCGUGAGAUGUUGGGUUAAGUCCCGCAACGAGCGCAACCCUUAUCUUUAGUUGCCAGCAUUUAGGAUGGGGACUCUAAAGAGACUGCCGAUGACAAAUCGGAGGAAGGUGGGGAUGACGUCAAAUCAUCAUGCCCUAUAUGUCCUGGGCUACACACGUGCUACAAUGGGAGGUACAAAGGGAAGCGAAAUAGAGAUAUUAAGCAAACCUCAAAAAGCCUCUCUCAGUUCGGAUUGUACUCUGCAACUCGAGUACAUGAAGAUGGAGUUGCUAGUAAUCGCAGAUCAGAAUGCUGCGGUGAAUGCGUUCCCGGGUCUUGUACACACCGCCCGUCACACCAUGGGAGCUUGUAAUACCCGAAGCCUGUGAGCAAACCGCAAGGGAGCAGCAGUCGAAGGUAGGAUAAGUGACUGGGGUGAAGUCGUAACAAGGUAGCCGUAUCGGAAGGUGCGGCUGGAUCACCUCCUUUCUAAGGAA